CCCUUCUUGUCUAUGCAGAGUUUGUCUCACUGAUAAAGAUGAUACUAAGAUUGUAUUAUGCGAUGGUUGUGAUAAUGCUUAUCACAUGUAUUGCAUGAAUCCGCCACGUACUACUGUACCAAAAGGGAAGUGGUUCUGCAGACAAUGUGAUGUGAAAAUCAAGGAAAUACGCAAGGCAAGGAGGGCAUAUGAGAAACGGGGAUAUAGAGUGAAAAGGAAAAUUGAAGCAGGUAAAAGAGCUUGUGAGAAUCUCGAGGAGAAACUGGAUGAGAAAUGUGAACAGGAAUCAGUCAAAGAUAGGGGAUAGGGAACCAAUGGACAUGCUUCUAAAAGCAGCUUUAUAUGAAGAAAAGUUGGCUGGUGUUUGAAAUACAUGACUUCUUAGGAGACAAG
rnacentral:misc_RNA from 1 species